rnacentral:tRNA from 1 species
GGCUUCGUAGCUCAGGUGGUAGAGUGCUUGCCACGUUGAGGCGUGGUGUUUCUGUCGCUGAUUCGAAUCCAGCUGGAGCCA